CACGUAGGGGGCGAGCGUUGUCCGGAUUUAUUGGGCGUAAAGAGCUCGUAGGCGGCUCGGUAAGUCGGGUGUGAAACCUCCAGGCUCAACCUGGAGACGCCACCCGAUACUGCCGUGGCUAGAGUCCGGUAGAGGAGCGUAGAAUUCCUGGUGUAGCGGUGAAAUGCGUAGAUAUCGGGAAGAACACCAGUGGCGAAAGCGCUCUACUGGGCCAUAACUGACACUGAGGGACGAAAGUGUGGGGAUCAAACAGG
rnacentral:rRNA from 1 species